CGGGGCGUAGCGCAGCUUGGUAGCGUACUACUUUGGGGUAGUAGGGGUCGUGGGUUCAAAUCCCGCCGCUCCGA
rnacentral:tRNA from 5 species